rnacentral:ncRNA from 1 species
AUAAAGGCAAAGACAGGAAGGAGUACUUAAGUCACUGUUACUUCAGAGAGUAGGCGUUUGGUGCGAGCCUAUAGGACACCUUAAGGAAGCAGUCCCCGAGCUGUGACCGCGAAAGAUUUUGAAUCAUUGGUAUUGAUUUUAAGUAGUGGUCAACGGAAGGUUCCACGUUAUAGGAACAACGAUAGUGAUGGCUGUCGGCUGAGAGCAGGAACAAGUUCCUGAAUUUAGGUGGUAACACGGACAAGAAAGUUCGCCCUAAGC